rnacentral:rRNA from 1 species
UACGUAGGUGGCAAGCGUUGUUCGGAAUUAUUGGGCGUAAAGGGCGCGUAGGCGGUUUGUUAAGUCAGCUGUGAAAGCCCGGGGCUCAACCCCGGAGAGUCGACUGAUACUGGCAGACUAGAGUACGGAAGAGGUAGCUGGAAUUCCCGGUGUAGCGGUGAAAUGCGCAGAGAUCGGGAGGAACACCCGUAGCGAAGGCGGUUCUCUGGGCCGGUACUGACGCUGAGGAGCGAAAGCGUGGGGAGCAAACAGG